CAUAUGUCUGCCUCUGUAGCUGUGACACUCCCCUUUCCACAGGAAAGCAUCAGCAAUGCUUUUUGUUGUGAAAUAAUAGCCAGAUGCAACAAUCUGAUGGAAAGCCUUGAACCAGAGUGGAGGCUUUUCCAGCAGCAGAUUAGUGCCCAUGGUUUGAUUUGGCAUGGAGAAGUUAAUGUUCACAUACUUUGUUCAUACGUUUUCAAACUUUAGGCAACAUGGACUAUGUUAAGGUGGCUGAAGAGCCGUCGCCAAGACCUGACAGAGAGGCAAGCAGAGCACUGCUGGUAACAGCAGAAUUUUCUCAUAACAGGUUGAUUUGGCAAAGAUUUGAUGCCAGAUGACCUUCCUGAUGCAACUCUCUCCAGUUAUCUAGGGCCGGAACCUGCAGUACACUGGCUUGUGUUCACACAUUGUGUGGUGAACUUCACAGAAACUGAUUGCUUGAUGCUCAUUUGUGUCUGUAGCUCUAACUAGAUCUAGAAGUACCACAACUAUUAGUCAUGAACAUCUGCACCAAAAAUGCUGUUUUGGAUUGUUUGGGGUCACUUUACCCACUAAGUGUGAUUUGUAUGCAAUAAAGAUUGACGAUGGAUACUCUAAUAAGAUUGUCUUUUAUGUGUUAUUGUUUUGCCCAAUCCCACAUACCAAGAAGCUCUGGCCCGGAUCUGGUAUCAAGCCGGCACUGCUGACUUCUGGCAUGAUAAGACGUAUGUCAUCCAGAUAUGGGCCA